ensembl:lncRNA
GUUCAGCAGUCUGAUGGCUUGGGGGUAGAAUCUGUUCAGCAGUCUGAUGGCUUAGGGAUAGAAUCUGUUCAGCAGUCUGAUGGCUUAGGGAUAGAAUCUGUUCAGCAGUCUGAUGGCUUGGGGGUAGAAUCUGUUCAGCAGUCUGAUGGCUUGGGGAUAGAAUCUGUUCAGCAGUCUGAUGGCUUGGGGGUAGAAUCUGUUCAGCAGUCUGAUGGCUUGGGGAUAGAAUCUGUUCAGCAGUCUGAUGGCUUGGGGAUAGAGCUGUUCAGCAGUUUGAUGGCUUGGGGGUAGAAGCUGUUCAGGAGUCUGAUGGCUUGGGGAUAGAAGCUGUUCAACAGUCUGAUGGCUUGGGGGUAGAAGCUGUUCAGCAGUCUGAUGGCUUGGGGAUAGAAGCUGUCAGCCGGUCUCUUCCUGGGUAUGGGGUAGAGAGGUCAGCCGGUCUCUUCCUGGGUAUGGGGUAGAGAGGUCAGUCGGUCUCUUCCUGGGUAUGGGGUAGAGGUCAGCCGGUCUCUUCCUGGGUAUGGGGUAGAGAG